AGAGUUUGAUCAUGGCUCAGGAUGAACGCUAGCUACAGGCUUAACACAUGCAAGUCGAGGGGAAACGACAUCGAAAGCUUGCUUUUGAUGGGCGUCGACCGGCGCACGGGUGAGUAACGCGUAUCCAACCUGCCCAUCACUUGGGGAUAACCUUGCGAAAGUAAGACUAAUACCCAAUGACGUCUCUAGAAGACAUCUGAAAGAGAUUAAAGAUUUAUCGGUGAUGGAUGGGGAUGCGUCUGAUUAGCUUGUGGCGGGUAACGCCACAAGGCGACGAUCAGUAGGGGUUCUGAGAGGAAGGUCCCCCANAUUGGAACUGAGACACGGUCCAAACUCCGUACGGGAGCA
rnacentral:rRNA from 1 species